rnacentral:rRNA from 1 species
GCUAGCGGCAGGCUUAUACAUGCAGGCGAGGGGGCAGCAAUGUCACCGUCGUACGGGUGCGUAACNCGUNUGCAACCUACCUUCAACUGGGGGAUAGCNNGGGGAAACCCGGAUUAAUACCGCAUGACACAUUUGGAUCACAUGGUUUGAAUUGUUAAAGAUUUAUUGGUUGAAGAUGGGCAUGCGUUCGAUUAGCUAGUUGGCAGGGUAACGGCCUACCAAGGCAACGAUCGAUAGGGGAGCUGAGAGGUUGAUCCCCCACACGGGCACUGAGAUACGGGCCCGACUCCUACGGGAGGCAGCAGUAGGGAAUAUUGGGCAAUGGAUGCAAGUCUGACCCAGCCAUGCCGCGUGCCGGAUGAAGGCCCUCAGGGUUGUAAACGGCUUUUAUUCGGGAAGAAGAGCAGGGAUGCGUCCUUGUGUGACGGUACCGAAUGAAUAAGCACCGGCUAACUCCGUGCCAGCAGCCGCGGUAAUACGGAGGGUGCGAGCGUUGUCCGGAUUUAUUGGGUUUAAAGGGUGCGUAGGUGGCUUUAUAAGUCAGUGGUGAAAUACAGCCGCUCAACGGUUGAGGUGCCAUUGAUACUGUAGAGCUUGAAACAAGUGGAGGUUGCCGGAAUGGAUGGUGUAGCGGUGAAAUGCAUAGAUAUCAUCCAGAACACCGAUUGCGAAGGCAGGUGACUACGUUUGAUUUGACACUGAGGCACGAAAGCAUGGCGAGCAACAGGAUUAGAUACCCUGGUAGUCCAUGCCGUAAACGAUGAGGACUCGCUGUUGGGCUGUCAAGGUUCAGCGGCUUAGGGAAACCGUUAGUCCUCCACCUGGGGAGUAC